AAGCCCUGGGUCCUGCGCAAUGCUAUUAGCUCGCUGUAUGUUUCUUGCGGUGCGCCGUUGUUGAUUAUCGUAGUGCGGUCCACACGCGCUUUCUUUGUGCCCGGCUCAUGAGAAGUGUUGUACUCUCGCCGCUCCCGCAUCGGCUCACAGUGCACGGAAGAAUGUGUUGAUAGUUGUGCUAUCGCGUGCUGUAGUUGACCGCAAUUCAACACUACGCUGGACGGACUGUUGGUGCAGUCGAUGCGGCGUGAACGGACACGAAGGAGCGCUCGCCUCAGAAGGGAUGUCACAAUUUCCUGAGACGGAGGCAUCUCUGCACCACAAAGGAGACUGCGGCACUAUGCAGCCUGAACAGCACGACAAAGCAUCUGAUCUGCCUGCUUUGACAAGAUGUGGCUGGGCCUGCAGAAAGAGUGUAAGCACACUACUGUGUUGCUGAUCAGUGCUGGUGCUGAUCUCUACGUCUGAGUUGGCCUCACAACGUCCAGGCGCCACUGUGCUUUGCUUCAUUGACAAGGUGUGGCUGGGCCUGCAGAAAAGCUGUAAGCAGACUGCAGUGUUGCUGAUCAGUGCUGAUCUCCACGUCCGAGUUGGUCCCACAAUAUCCAGGCACCACGGUGCUUUCACAAGGUUCACAAUCGAAAUGGGUUAUUUAUUUGUGCUAGUAAGUGGAUGUGGGUAAACCAAGCCAGAACGGACAGCAAGUUUGCCAGGGAGAUUGCCCGAUGCUUGUGGCAGGCACAGGAAUUAAUCCACAGGAGUGUUACGAGCAAAAGUAUGUAUGCGAAAGCUAAAGGAAGGUGGUGAGGCCAAGCCAGCGUUGACACCACAAAAUCUUGGUCCAUAUCUUAGUAAGUAGACCCUGUCCUGCUAGCUCAUGUUUUCAUAAGGAUUGCAAAGUGUUUGGAAGUUAAAGGAGUAAUGCCUAUCACACGGUGCUUUUUCUGCACGAAUAUAAUGGGCUGUCGGUAAGAUCGGGUUGUAUUGAGGUGAUCUCUCAUAUGGGCCGACACAGUUUACAUCUACACAUCAGGGGCAUGCAUAGCUGUAUGCGUAUAUUUAGUGCUGUGCUCUAGCUCGCUAACAAAAACUAUCAUUUAGUUUCUAUAGUGGUAUUAAAGGUGCAUUAAUCUUUCCUAUAAACAAUUCUGCACUGGCAUCUAUGCAGUGUUUUCCGUCUGCAUAUUCCGCAGUGCGGUAGCAAAGAGCUGUGCUAUCUGUGUAUUCACUUGCAUGAGCUUGUUAUACUUGUUCAUUUAAUGUAAAAUACUUGUGGAAAAGUAUUAGACUAUUUCUGUGGUCUUGUAUUGCAAUUCUGCAGCCAUUUAUAUUGUUUGUAAAACACGAACAUUUAACAGAGACAGGAACAAGACAAUGCGAGGACGAGCACUUGCUUUCAACUGCUGUGGUUAAUGUUGAAAUAUCAAUUUACAUAGG